AUUGAACGCUGGCGGCAUGCCUUACACAUGCAAGUCGAACGGCAGCACGGGAGCAAUCCUGGUGGCGAGUGGCGAACGGGUGAGUAAUAUAUCGGAACGUGCCCAGUCGUGGGGAUAACGUAGCGAAAGCUACGCUAAUACCGCAUACGAUCUAUGGAUGAAAGCGGGGGAUCGCAAGACCUCGCGCGAUUGGAGCGGCCGAUAUCAGAUUAGGUAGUUGGUGAGGUAAAGGCUCACCAAGCCGACGAUCUGUAGCUGGUCUGAGAGGACGACCAGCCACACUGGGACUGAGACACGGCCCAGACUCCUACGGGAGGCAGCAUGGGGAAUUUUGGACAAUGGGCGCAAGCCUGAUCCAGCAAUGCCGCGUGCAGGAUGAAGG
rnacentral:rRNA from 1 species